rnacentral:rRNA from 1 species
AUGAACCGGCCAAAACGUGCUGGUGGCAUUGGAUUCAGAGAUAUGCACCUUUUCAACUUAGCGCUCCUUGCCAAGCAUAGUUGGAGACUGCUCCAGAAACCAAACAAUUUGUGUGCAAGAGUGAUCAAGUCAAAAUAUUACCCACAUGGGAACCUACUUGACAUGGUGUUUGUGUCCGAUGCAUCCUCAGUUUGGACUUUGGAGAGGGAUUGA